UCCUAGUUUCCUAGGCAGUCCCAUCAGAGUGCCUCUUAAAAAGAGUUGCAACUGACAGUAGGGGUUGCGCUCGUUAAAGGACUUAACCCAACAUCUCACGACACGAGCUGACGACAGCCAUGCAGCACCUGUGUACAUGUUCAAGUUUACACUUGAAAAACCAUAUUUCUACAGCGGUCAUGUACAUGUCAAACCCAGGUAAGGUUCCUCGCGUAGUAUCGAAUUAAACCACAUGUUCCACCGCUUGUGCGGACCCCCGUCAAUUCCUUUGAGUUUUAAUCUUGCGACCGUACUCCCCAGGCGGAUCACUUAUCGCGUUAGCUACGACACUGAUUCCGCAAAGCGAAACCAACGUCUAGUGAUCAUCGUUUACAGCGUGGACUAC
rnacentral:misc_RNA from 1 species